rfam:Geobacillus sp. WCH70, complete genome.
GCACCUUUUAAUUAAGUCCAGAGAGACUUAAAAGGGUGUUACGACGAGAAGGAAAAAGGUAGAUCGUUGUCUGGAAAGACGAAAGUUGCUUUCUGGUCCCUUUUUGCGAACUGUGUAACACCCUGUCUCUAGGCAGGGUGUUUUUUUAU